ACUCGGGAGGGCGAGGCAGGAGAAUCGGUUGAACCUGGCAGGUAGAGGCUGCAGUGAGCCGAGGUCGUGCCAUUGCACUCUACCCUGGGUGACAGUGAGACUGUCUCAGGGAUUAAACAAAAAAUUCUAAUAGUUGGGGAUUUCUUUUGGAUUUAUUUAUAAAGGAUUCUGAUUUCUAAUUUUGCUUAUAUCCUUGCCACAUUCUGGAAUUAGGGAUCAGGUUAGUGAUUUUGUGGUUUUGGCAUUAAUUUUAAAAUGAUUUGUCUUAGGCAACAUCCACCAAAAUGUAGAAAUACAGCGGGUUUUAACAAAAGCAAAUGUAGACUUGAGACUGAGGUGGCACCUAGUGAAAUGCUGUUUCUUUCAUAGCUCUGUUCAAGAGAAACGCCACUGUCUUAGAGGCCGCGAAUCCCCCGACAUGGGCUCUGAGCCUCCCACAGACACCUGCGGCCCCAUCUUGAGUUGUCCAUGCUGGCUGCCAGCCAGAAUCCUGUCAUCCGUGUAAGACGUUUCAGAUGACAUUUGGAUACCUAGAGAGUCCACGUCCAUGAACACCCACUGCAGGAUGUUGAGUUUUGUCUCAGCAGCAAGUCACCCAGUGAUAUUCCCACUGCAUGUGCCAGCCUGCCUCCUGGAGCUGUGGCUUUGGUGUCAGGCUCGUUUUCCAAGUCUGACCAGUCUCCACAGGACCUGAGCUCACGCAGCCUUUGCGGUUUUCCCCAGCACAGAAACCGCAAGUCCUGACACUGCCCGCACCCCCCUUCUGGCCAUGAUGACCCGCUACUGUUACUCUAGCAGAGGACAGUGACGGAAGUGGGCAGACUGACCGAAGGGCCGUGACGACCAACUACUGUUAUUCUAGGAGGACACUGACGGAAGUGGGUAGACGACUGAAGGAGAUCAGCUGUCCACAGCGCACUCUACUGAAGCGAGAGGAGCAACCCGAGGACCUGCUGCGCACACUCCGAGGGCACCACGUGACGUGGGUCAUGCGGGAGUUCCCUUUUGUUUUCUUGUUUGGUUCAGGGCAAAGCUACUGAAAUUAAGUUUCUAGUCCCUGAGGUGCUCAGAAGUUGGGCAAAGGUCAAAGAGACUUCCUGAAAAUAAGACACUGAGGAACACAGUGGAGAGUUGGGAGCUCACAGCAACGCAGCUGGGGAUGACACCGGACCUCUCCCGAAGGUGCCGCAGCUCCAGCACCAGGGGCCACGGCAGCUCAGUAACCCUUGCCGUGCUCGAGUUCCUGGAGCUUCAGAGCUAAGUUCCAGAUUUAGAAACAGUGCCUUAAAGAUUGGCAAGAAAACCCGGGCUGUGGCAGUCUGCUCAUCUGUGGUUUUGCUCUUGCUCUCACCUCGAUAUUCUUUAAUUCCUACGUACCAAUGAAAAAGCCAAGCGACGUGGCAGUGAGGAGGCGGCAGGAGCGUCUUCCCGUCUGUGACAGGCACACUUCAGUCUUGGCUCAAGAUGCAGAAUGGCGCCUACAGCAAAACAAAACGAAAACCCUCCUCCGUUCUUUACCAUUUGACAGUUGGGCAUUUUCCUUACCUGUGAUCCCAAGAGAAACAGAUCCAGACCUGUCAUGUAAAGUCCACGUUCCAGGAUCAGAAGUAACCAGUUUAUGGACUGAGCUCACAUGGGAAAGUCCACCCCCGACUCCUUCUGGAUAGUAACAUACACAGCUGCGUAAAAACGUCUCCAAGGGGACAUACGAUGCAUUUGCUUGAUGUCCACGCCAAGCUCCCCGGUGACCUAGCUGUUCCUUGACUCAGAGCUCGAGAGCUGGUCUCCUGUCAGAGAACCCCCUCAGCUGUGAGCUACAGAGCUGGAGCCCUCUGUGGAGGGACCUGACUCCACACACACGACACAGCAGAAUCCUAAUUAUCUUACAAACUGCAAACCUUCUGAGUAAGACAAAAAUAUACAUUCCAAGGUAUCUGUAAAGUGCUUGGAAGAUGCAGACAGCUGCACCGAGGGGCUCUGAUCCAUCCACACACUGCGAUUUGCUGCGGUCACACACACGGUCUCAGUCACGUGACGGUUUCGCUUUUAUUUCUUACAUGGCUGAGUUAUAAUCCAGCUAGUGUGCAGUGAUUUCAUACCUUUCAAUGUUUGUCACCACAGUGACGCUGCUACAGCCCCACGCUGAGGGCCGACACAAUUCACGGAACAGAUUCACAAUAUUUGGUCUUUAUGUAAAUAAUAAAUGCUUUAAAAUUGCCUAAAGAUACCGUUCUGAGCCAUUUCAUCCCAAUUUCAUCCCACCACGAAAAUACAGGUUUUUUCCUCUAAAAAAAAAAAAUUAAAUACCAAAAUAACUACAUUUAAAUAAAUAAUGUUACGAUGAUGACAUUAAAAAGCUCAGCAUCAGGCUGAGGCCGCGGCCCUCGGCCGGCACACUCGGGAAAGGCGAGCGGUUUCUUCCUGAGGAGCCGGGCGAGGAGGUGCGGGCACCUCCCACUCAUUCCCUCACCCCCCUCUCCUCUCAUUUUCUGUAGAGGAGUCGUCAGCCUCAGGAUUGGGUUCAGUUCUGAAAGGUCAGGGAGGUUUCCUACCACAAAACAGGAAAUGCCCCGGACAUCCCCUGCAGGAUGUGGCUCGGACCCGCUUCACCAUGGCGGCCGCUCACCAAAGGUGGGGAGUACACGGCGGGUCAGAGGGCGCCCAGGGCCGGGGGUGACACCCCAAAUACAAACAUACCACGGAGAGACCUGGGAGCUGAGUUUCAAAAGGGCCUAUGAUAAAAGACUGAAUCUUUUUUUCCAAAUUAAGUAGAAAUGGUUCUGUCGUUUUAAACAUACACAAUACUUAGGAGACUUAUUUUACUUAGAGUGGAAAAUUUUGCCAGGGACAAAGUCAACACAAAGAAACAAACAACGAAAAGUUGCCAGAAAGAGAACAGUUAAGUGCAGCUCGGUGAGUCCCGGCAGUUCCUUCCCGGCACCAGCUCGUCCCUGGGUUCUCAGGGUUCCAUGUGGCCACAGUGUCCGUCCACCUGUCCAUGCGAGCCACACGCUGAAAGGGAGGUGGAUAAAAUUCAUCAGGCAGCUGCUGUAACACGGAAAUGUGCAGAUGCCAAAGUAGCUUCAUCUGAACUUUAACAAGACAGACAAGGAAAUCAU